rnacentral:rRNA from 1 species
GCACGGAGGGCUUCGGCUUUCAGUGGCGGACGGGUGAGUAUCGCGUAGGGAUUUAUCGUUGGGUGGGGGAUAACCUUGGGAAACUGGGGCUAAUACCGCAUGACGCCUGAGGGCCAAAGCACUUGUGUGCCUGACGAGGAGCCUGCGUCCGAUUAGGUAGUUGGUUGGGUAAUGGCUGACCAAGCCUGCGAUCGGUAGCUGGUCUGAGAGGAUGAUCAGCCACACUGGGACUGAGACACGGCCCAGACUCCUACGGGAGGCAGCAGUGGGGAAUAUUGGACAAUGGGCGCAAGCCUGAUCCAGCAAUGCCGCGUGGAUGAAGAAGGUUUUCGGAUUGUAAAGUCCUUUCGGCGGGGACGAUGAUGACGGUACCCGCAGAAGAAGCCCCGGCUAACUUCGUGC